AGGGCAGGGGCUGGGCUAGUCACCGCAUGGGAAGCAGAAACCAGACACAGACAGAGAGAGCACCCAGAAGAAAUCAGAGCACAGCCAAACUUCUAAUCAGGAGAAGAAAAGCUAUGGAUUCCUUCAAAAUGAAUGAAAAUCAGAUUUGAUCAGGGGAGACCCCCUGAAGAUCCUGACUGCAGACAUGAAAGAAAUCAAGAAUACCAACAAAACAGACAGGUCAGCUCCAGGCAGCACCCCCAUUCUACUUCAUAGAAGAUGAUGAGCAUCGAGAACCUCUGUACGGAGUUUGCUUCAAAUGUGGCAAACAAGCCACUGGGCAAGAAACUGCCCUUGCUUCAGCCGCUGACAGUAUGCUGUCCAAACUGGACCAACAGGAUGCAGGAGUUGCCCUGGUCCCAGUGUCUCUUCACAACAGUGAACAGUGUCUAAACAGGUUUCAAAUUUUGAUUGGUUGGAUGAAGCAUCUAUCAAAAGAUGGCUUAUUGAAAGAGUUGGAGAUGCCUGAUACCCCUUGGCUUAGUGCUGCUGAAGGGAUUUUAAGGCUCAGGGAAUUGCAGUGCUCGAGUGGGUACGCUGUGUAAAACCUCCACAACGUGAAGGCCCAGAAGACACGCCCUUCACAAAUCCUGUAAGACACAAAAUGGUGCACCAGCACAUUUGAAGAGUUUUGCCCUUUUCCUUGUGCCAGACCUAAGGGCUGGAGAUGCUGCUGCUCAGUGGAUGAAUUAAAUGCAAUGGGUUUAACUGGGGCACAGAGUAGCAGGGCCAGGUGGCAGCACUGAAUUAACUAAGGCAAGGUGAUCAUAGUUAUUCCAAUGAGCAGCACAACAACAAAGCAAUGAUCGUAAUAGCCUGCCAUGAUGGUCAGCACAGGCAAAGUGAAUUUUAGGGUGGCAUGACUGGUAUGGACUUAGGUACUGGGUAACCAACCAUGGUGUUUCCAGGCAUGAAACAGGAAGCCUACUAUGUAAGAGGAAAAUUUCUCAAACAAAUAAAAGGCUUACAUUAAGUCAUGAUCAAGAGAGAAUCUCAACCUGUGAACCAAUUUCUAGAGUUGAGCCAGUUUGCAGACCCAGAUCUCCUUGAAUGAGGGAGUGGCCAAGUUCCACUGAUUAAGGACCUUGAUAAGACACCUAAAAGUUUUACUGUUAGUCUUUCUCCUGUCCUUCCCCAGAGGGACCUACGGGCUUUUAGAAGGGAAAUUGUACACGAGGGGAAGGAAACUAUCAGACUUCCUGAGGUCUACUGAAUGCUGUUCUGAACUGACCCUGGUUCUGGGAAACCCCUAGAGACAUGGUGGCCCAUCAGUUAAAGUCAGAGCUUAUGAUAGGAGCCAGGUGAUUAAUGGAGUUUAGGCUAAAGUCUGACUCAUAGUAGGCUCAGGGAGAGCCUGAAUUUCUCCUGUGGUUAUUUCCCAAGUCCCAGAAUGUAUAAUCGGGAUAGAUAUACUUAGAAGUUGGCAGAGUUCUCACACUGGUUCCCUGGUCUGUGGUGUGAGGGCUAUUAUGGCUGGAAAGGCUAAAUGGAAGUCUUUAGAGUUGCCUCUCUACCAUGGAAAAUAGUGAAUCCAGGAACAAGUGUCACCGUCAAGGACUUGGGAGACAAAGCGGGGAGAGGGGCUCCCAGGUCUCCCUUUAGCCCUCCUACCUGGCCUGUACAGAAUAUUUUGGUAAGAACCUGUUUGCACAGAUAUUUGUGUUUUCUUCACUAAGUUUCUUUAUCAUACAGUGUAUCAUCAAUUGAGAUAAUAUCAAUGGUUCUCACAUUUAAGUUAUGAGGUAUUAAAGUAACUUUCCUCAAAGGACAUUGCCACCUAUUCUAAAAUGUAUAAUGAAUUUGUGGUUGUACAUGUUCAAGUUAUAAAUUA
rnacentral:lncRNA from 1 species